rnacentral:rRNA from 2 species
ACCCUUUAAUGUUUGAUGUUCUAACGUGGACCCGUGAUCCGGGUUGCGGACAGUGUCUGGUGGGUAGUUUGACUGGGGCGGUCUCCUCCUAAAGAGUAACGGAGGAGCACGAAGGUUGGCUAAUCCUGGUCGGACAUCAGGAGGUUAGUGCAAUGGCAUAAGCCAGCUUGACUGCGAGCGUGACGGCGCGAGCAGGUGCGAAAGCAGGUCAUAGUGAUCCGGUGGUUCUGAAUGGAAGGGCCAUCGCUCAACGGAUAAAAGGUACUCCGGGGAUAACAGGCUGAUACCGCCCAAGAGUUCAUAUCGACGGCGGUGUUUGGCACCUCGAUGUCGGCUCAUCACAUCCUGGGGCUGAAGUAGGUCCCAAGGGUAUGGCUGUUCGCCAUUUAAAGUGGUACGCGAGCUGGGUUUAGAACGUCGUGAGACAGUUCGGUCCCUAUCUGCCGUGGGCGCUGGAGAACUGAGGGGGGCUGCUCCUAGUACGAGAGGACCGGAGUGGACGCAUCACUGGUGUUCGGGUUGUCAUGCCAAUGGCACUGCCCGGUAGCUAAAUGCGGAAGAGAUAAGUGCUGAAAGCAUCUAAGCACGAAACUUGCCCCGAGAUGAGUUCUCCCUGAGACUUAAAG